GACGAACGCUGGCGGCGUGCUUAACACAUGCAAGUCGAACGAGUGGCGAACGGGUGAGUAAUACGUGAGUAACCUGCCCUCUUUUUGGGAUAAGCCUUGGAAACGGGGUCUAAUACCGGAUAUAGGGGGAUGGGCUCGCGGCCUUUCAGCUUGUUGGUGGGGUGAUGGCCUACCAAGGCGGUGACGGGUUGCCGGCCUGAGAGGGGGAACGGGCACAUUAGGACGGGGAAACGGGCCAGGGUGCGAAGGGAGGGAGCAGGGGGGGAUAAUGGACAAUGGGGGAAAGCCGGAUGCAGCGACGGCGCGGGGGGGAUGAAGGCGUUGGGGUUGGAAAACUCGUUCGCGAACGAACGGGUAGGUGGAGAAGAAGCGCCGGCUAACUACGUGCCAGCAGCCGCGGUAAUUC
rnacentral:rRNA from 1 species